rnacentral:misc_RNA from 1 species
UAGACCUUGUUAUUUUUACUUCCACUUCCUGGCGAGCUUCUCCUUCUAGACCGCAGGCCAAAUGGACCUCAUGGCCCAUUCUUCCACUUUCCUCCUCCCCACGAUCUCCGGCGACCACCGCCCUUCUCUUACCUACGUCCUCGUCUUGCUUAACCAACGCCUUCCAAGGUUCACUCCUCUCCUCUGGAAGCACGCACAACUACGCCUUUGUGCAGAUGGAGGCGCCAAUCGGGUCUACGAUGAAAUGCCUUUGUUGUUCCCGCACGAAGAUGCUCUCGACGUUCGGCACAGGUACAAGCCAGAUGUAAUCAAGGGAGACAUGGAUUCAAUCCGAACAGAAGUACUGGACUUCUAUACCAGCUUGGGAACCAAGGUUGUUGAUGAAUCUCAUGAUCAAGACACCACAGAUCUACAUAAGUGCAUUUC